GCAUAAUGUAUGAGCAUAUUCUGCCAGUAUUCACAUGAGUUGAAGGUUUCUGUGAACAGGAUAGGACUGAGAGACCAGACACAGACCUUGCUCUUCACAUGUGCUGCAUUAGAGCAGCCUCAAAGUAUUUUACAAGUACAGAAUUUCUCCAUCACAUCUAAAGAUGUGAUUGAGUUGACCAUGAACGACUUUUAACACCAUCCCACUUACUACAGAAACAGGGGACCAGCUUACUGCUCCAUUACAUGCAGUGAUGUCGCUGAAGAAGGACUCUUCAAAAUGUACCAAGUGUUGGAACAAGACUCUGGAGUGAGCUGCACAAGCAUCCCUCAGACUUCUGGAGUGCUGGCCUGUAAUGAACUGAUUUGAAUCAGUGCCUCUGUGGCAAAUUUUGUGUUCAGCCCUGCAAAUCCCUGCAGGAGGUUCCAGCACAGGGCCAGCUGUGGGUCCUGGAGUCCCCAGAGGCCACAGACAUCCCCAUCUCACAUU